AUUGAACGCUGGCGGCAGGCCUAACACAUGCAAGUCGAGCGAGCGGCGGACGGGUGAGUAAUGUAUGGGGACUGCCCGAUAGAGGGGGAUAACUACUGGAAACGGUAGCUAAUACCGCAUACUAUCGGAUAACCCAUAUGGGAUUGGCUAGUAGGUGAGGUAAUGUCUCACCUAGGAGACGAUCCCUAGCUGGUCUGAGAGGAUGAUCAGCCACACUGGGAAUGUUAAACGGCCCAGACUCCUACGGAGGCAGCAGUGGUGAAUAUUGCACAAUGUGCGCAAGCCUGAUGCAGCCAUGCCGCUUGUAUGAAGAAGGCCCUAGGGUUGUAAAGUACUUUCAGUCGGGAGGCGUUACCGACAGAAGAAGCACCGGCUAACUCCGUGCCAGCAGCCGCGGUAAUUC
rnacentral:rRNA from 1 species